AUAGAAUCAUGAUCAGGUUGAUACCCUUCAGAUUUAACAUAAAAACAGCAGCACAUUACCCACAUCAACCAAGGGCAGAGACACUAUUCAAGGGCGAAACUUCAAUCAAAUAGACAAUACACGUUAAGACUGAAGAAUGAUAAGGCAUAAUUUCAUUGCAUUCCAAUCAACCAUAACUCCUUAACGACAGAGGAAUGAAAGAGAGAAAGAGGGCUCCCAAGGAACUAUACUAAAUGUUUCAAUCACUCGAGACUUUAUUAAUGGUAUCCAUAAAAUGAAACUUUGGGGUGAUUAUAAAAUAUACAUGCAAACCAUGCCAGAAAUUUUCUUAGCUGAAUACAAAUAAGUUAAAAAUCCAACCACUUGCUAUA
rnacentral:misc_RNA from 1 species